GGAAUUCUCUCUCUAGAAGGGUAAAAUAUAACUGAUAUGGUUGGGCUUUUUGUCCAUGAUAAAUGUUCUGACUUCUUAGUUUGGGCUUCGCCCCUUUUACUCCCAGAAAAAACAAAAUGGACUUAUAUAUUUCCAGUCGACCUUUCUUAUGCAAUUAAAAAUGACCACGUCAUAGAGUGAAGGAUCUUCAGUUUUGUUUCUCAUCGAGAACGCUCA
rnacentral:lncRNA from 1 species